rnacentral:lncRNA from 1 species
AGGAGUUCCGAAAGUCAAACGACAAAAGUUAAAGUACAAAACUGGUAAAGGAUACUCUGUAACAAUCAACUGUGUAGUUAAGAGUGAGCAUCUUAAAAUCCUUGAUGUUUCCUGGUUAGUGUAUAACCCUCUUACGAACAAGACAAACGAGAUACACAAUGGUGAAGUCGGAAUUGACGGAGUAAGUCCAGAAAAUCCUUCACUAAUUAUAGAUGAGGUCAGUGUAUCCAUGGAGGGUGAAUACAAAUGUUGUGCAAUAAAUAAAGCAGGCGACGCAUGUGGUUUACCGUCGGAUUUAAUAGGUUAGUUUUCAAGUAUUUUUUGACCAUUCAUUGUUUAACUAACUGUUUGAAAUACAACACUUAAUAAUACCACAAACGUAAUAUUCAUCUAUGUAUAAUAAUAAAAAAAGAAAUUUAUUUGACAUAUUGAGAAAAUAAAGGAGAAAUAUAAUGCCGAAAACAAAUUUUAUAAGUUAAUUUUAUGCGUCUUUAAUUUAAAGUUCAGUGUUUUUCGAAAUUUUGUUUUUUCAGUUGAAACAAAUUAUAAACAAACACAAGGUAGGUGGUUUAUUUUUUUUUUUUUUUGUUGUACUUUUUAAGUACUUAACUCCGACUUCUCACUAAUUUUCACAAAAACUGCACAUAAAUGAUCAAUUGGAAUCAACAUUAUAAACGUUUAUGGUCUACAUUUGUUUUAUUGCAAUUAGUAUCUUUUUUCAGAAAAUGAUCAUUACCGUUCUAACAUUAUAUAGUUGAACUAGGAGAAGUGAUUAAAACAUUAUUGGAACAUAAUUGAAACAUAAGUGUUCCAUGGAAAUCGAUGACAGACUCGGAUAUUGAGUGAAUUGUGUAGAUUAGAAAAGUCCACGAGUACUAGAAUACUGCGUAUCGCUCGGUAUAAUACAAACUAAUACUAGGUUAUUCCGUUUAUUGUUAGGAUACUCUUAUAAAGUUUAUUUCCUCAGACAAAAAAAAACUGUGGUUGGUCGCAUCUGUUAGUUCUAAAUAUACAUCCAAACUUUUGUAGUUAAGUAUUGAUUAGAAUACAAUUUAUUAAUUACUAGCUUUUAAGAGGCUGUCCAAGUAAAUAUCAGGCAAAUCCUAUGAUAUGGGUAGCACAACAUAAUUUUUUCCAACUGAGUUUUUGGUUCCAAUGCAAAAUAUAUCACACAAAGGAUAUAUAUGUCAAAGAUAUUUUUGAAACAACAGUGGAUGGCUCAAUAAAUGAUUUUAAAGUUCACUAGCAACGCAACAAACCGUUUUACAAAAUGAAGAGCUAUCUCCCCUUUUCAAUGAAUUUUCAGUGCUUUCUAUGUAUUUUUUUUCUCUUUAUUUGUUGCAGUUAAUAAAAAAAAACCUUGAGAAAGAAUGAAUUUGUGAUAUGUAAUAGAUGAAAAAAUUUUGAAAACAAAACAUGUCAUGUGCCAUCCACUGUCUGGUUUUUCCAUGGACACCCUCUUAAUUACGUUAUAUAAUUACUGCAGCUAAAUGUAAUGGAGUGGUUUAAAGUACAAUAGAAAUGACCAAUAAAUAGAGCAUUAAAUUUUUAAAACUGUCUUUCAUUGUUAAAAUAUUAUUCGAUGUGAGUAUCACGUCCCUCAUGAAGGUAGAAGCUGAAAAAUAUCUUCAGAAAUUUGUAGUUAUACAUCGAACUUACAAUUGUAACUUGUUAGACUUCCUCCGUAUGCAUAACAUAAUAGCAAACUGAAAGCACGAUGCAUUACUUCAUGCAUAAUUUACAGUGAGUAUUUUGAAAUCACAAAAAUUGGUAUUAUCGGUAAACUUGUUAGAAAUGUGAUUUAUCAAUAUUUGUUUUCAUAAAUCAGUAAGGCAAGCUUCCACAGAUUUUACUAUAUUCGGAAAGGCAAGCUAUUUGUAUGGAACGCCGUAACUGCUUUAUGAUACUAAAUUCUUUAUCAAGAUGAGCUUUUUCUUUAUGGUGAUGAGUAUUUUCUUUAUUAUGAUGAGCUUUUUCUCUAUUAUGAUGAGCUUUUUCUUUAUUAUUCUGAGCUUUUCCUUUAUUAUGAUGAGAUUUUCUUUACUAUGAUGAGAUUUUUCUCAAUUAUGAUUAGGUUUUUCUCUAUUAUGAAGAACUGUUAGAAGGAAAUCAUGGGAAAAUAAGAGAAUUAAGAUCAAACAAAAAGAAAAAUGGCAGAAUCAGAAAUGUUGAAAGUUCUUCGGAAUGUUGGCUUGCUCCAUGUCCGGGGAAAUGUUUUAUAAAGAACUGAUAACACCCAAUAUUGUCAGCAUGCUUUGAAAACAUGAACUGGAAUGUCUAGGAGUUACUAUUCCAGCGUAUAUGAUGACACUGCUUCUCACUUCUGCCACCAACUAUGCUCCUCAAGACUAUGCAUAAGUUAGGAAUUUCGUUACCGCAAAUACUUAAAACCUUUACUUACUUCUUUCAUAUAUAGAUAUAAAGAUUAGGUUUUAAAGUUUAGUUGUACCUUAAAACUUAUUUCAAACGGGAUACAUCCUCAUUUUUACAGCAAUGUUGUUUAUCGUGCCUGGAAAUUUUGAAACGAUCCUGAUAAACUUGUCAAUCAUUUAAAUAAAUUCAUUCUAAAAGGUUACCAGCACUGUAAUUAGAUCAUUGCAUAUUGUUUUAUUGGUAUUGAUAUUGAUUUUGUUAUCAGUAAAAUUUAAAGCAAACUAAAUAUUAUUUUUAUAUACAAUCAUAUACACAUUCAUGGAUCUGCGAUAGGUCGACUCCUGUAUCUUAGCAUAGCACAAGGCCAGGUUUUUCUCCGACUUUUUAUUGACGUAGUUGCACUUAAUCCAUUGGAUGUAUGAUGUGUACUAAUUGACAAUUGAGUCUUAGAUGCAUGAUUUUAUUUAUUAUUUUUUUGUCUUUUUGUUGUUAGGAUUACAAGUAUAUGGCCAUGUCCGCGAGUAUUUGAAGUAUUUGUAUGUUUAUCCAUCUGAUGAGUUAAAAUAAAAAAAGAAGCCUUUUCAACUGAUUUUUAUAGAUCGUUCUUAUGUUGUACCACUGUCCCAAAUUAGGGGAAGGUUGGGAUCCCGCUAACAUGUUUAACAGCGCCACAUUAUGUGUGUAUGUGCUUAUCCCAAAUCAGGAGCCAGUAAUUCAGUUGUUGUCGUUUUUUUUUUCUUUCAUUUUUUUGUACGUAAAUUAGACAAUGAUCAUUCAUAACAUUGUUAUUGUACGCACAAAAUACUGAAAGUUCAAUCAGGCUUGAGCAGAAAGGAUUUCGACACAAUUGAAAAAGUCAUCAAUGCCAAAGUUGAUACCUGUCCUAUUGAAAUCUGCUCUUAUUAUUCGUUGGACAUUUAUAAAAUUGCAAUGUUCAUUGGCUCAAAAAUUGGCCUUCCAUCGUACAUAAGAUUAGCCGCAUCAAUGUUUCAUUCUAAUCCACAAUCAACCAAAUCUGUAUUUUACCGGCGAUCCAAAUAUUGAUUUUGUUGUUCUCAUUCUAUGGCUUGCCCAGGCAUGAGUCCAAAUAUCAAGUCUUCUGUUAAUUUCACCCAUUUAAAUGUAGUGCAGGGCUAUUAGAUGCAGUUCAUUCAGUGGAUCGGAAAUUCCCUGGUCUUCCAAAGGACAUAAUAAGUUGUAGAAAUAGCAUAAAACACCCUCGUUACCUCAGUCUUUAUACUUUAGUUCCUUUUCCUUUCAGUAUUUUAUGCAACAUGCGUUUGCAACAACGAGGAAAGUCCACUACAAUGCCGGAAAGUAUACUGUCAAAAUUGUCAUCUUCAAUGUCAGAAAAAUCUCUUUUCUGUAUUCCAAAAUGAGCCAUCCAUCAAUAUAUUGUUCUCAAUAAGAGUUGUAAGAACUUCCAAAUGUCCGAUAUCUUGAAGUCACAAUCCAAAAACGAUUUUAGUAUAUUUUUAAGGUAUAACUAAACUUCAAAACAUAAUCUUUAUUCUAUAUAUGAAAGAAGUAAGUAAAGGUUUUAAGUAUUUGCGGUAACGAAAUUCCUAACUUAUGCAUAGUCUUGAGGAGCAUAGUUGGUGGCAGAAGUGAGAAGCAGUGUCAUCAUAUACGCUGGAAUAGUAACUCCUAGACAUUCCAGUUCAUGUUUUCAAAGCAUGCUGACAAUAUUGGGUGUUAUCAGUUCUUUAUAAAACAUUUCCCCGGACAUGGAGCAAGCCAACAUUCCGAAGAACUUUCAACAUUUCUGAUUCUGCCAUUUUUCUUUUUGUUUGAUCUUAAUUCUCUUAUUUUCCCAUGAUUUCCUUCUAACAGUUCUUCAUAAUAGAGAAAACCCUCAUCAUAAAGUUAAACCUCAUCAUAAUAGAGAAAAUGCUCAUCAUAGUAGAGAAAAAGCUCAUAAUAAUAGAGAAAAAGCUCAUCCUAAUAAAGAAAAAGCUCAUCAUAAUAGAGAAAAAGCUCAUCAUAAUAAAGAAAUAGCUUAUCAUAAUAGAGAAAAAGCUCAUCAUAAUAGAGAAAAAAUCUCCUCAUAAUAAAGAAAAAACAUCAUCAUGAUAAAUAAUGAAGUAUCAUAAGGCAGUUACGGCGUUCCAUAUAUUUGAUACAAAUAAAUGGCUUUUGUAUCUGUUUGCUUUAUCUAAGUUAUCAACUUUCAUUUUCUUCCAUUUAACCUUACAAGUAUUUCACUUAAUGUACGCGGUAAUUGUUUAAUAUCCACUCCAUUAUGUGUUUCAGACAAAGAUGACAGUUCAGGUAAGUUAUGAUUUCAACAUCUGAAAUUGAAUUUUUAAUGAAUACAGACUAAUAAUGAGUAGUCAAAGGAGUAUGUUCGAUAAGGUCCUAAUAUGGCCCCCUUUUUUAACGUAAAUUUCAAAUUCGGAUUUGUUGACCAAUAUCACGAUAAAUUAUAGCUAAUACAUUGACUAUAUAGGAUAUACGCCAUUUUGUUGAAAAUUUUACGUUUCUGCGUUUCAUUAUGACGUCACAAGUUGUACUCAUAUUGAUUUUUCACAAAAAAUCAAUGAAAAUGGAUAAAUUUCCAUAGAUUAUUGGACAGGAAACAUAGAGCGCAUACGUCGACAACAAAGAUGUUUUAGAAUAAUGUUUGUGAAAAUAUUUCACAUGUCUCAUUUGAAUAUUAAGCUUGUCGACGCCUGCGUUAUAUGUUUCCUGGUCCUUUAUUUGGUUGAAAUCCAGCUGAUUUUGUCAAAUUUCACCAAAAUCCCUUAUGUUGACCUUUUUGGGAUGUUAAAAUCAACGUGUAAGAAUAAAACUUUGACAAAAACAGUUCUGUUCAACUUUCUCUCAUGUCUUUACGGCAACUUAAAACAUGUAUUGUCUUGUAACUAUGGACUUUAUAAUUGGGGCCAAAUAUGGCCCUUACCGAACUUACUCCUUUGAAUAACUAAUCUAACCUCUACACUACAAUUUACGAAAAAGAGGACAAUUUGUCGUACUUAUUAUUAAUUUUAUUUUUUGGACGACCAUGUUUCUUUGGCACCAUCUUACGGUAUUCAUAUUGAUCAUUAAGUUCGCUAUACCCGUGUCUAAUUAGAAUUUGUGAUAUCAAUGUACUAAAUCCAUGUAUUACUUGGAAAAUUAUUUAGUCAGGGAUUUCACAAAUUACUUGAAACCUUUAUUAAAUUCUAUGGUGUGCCUAGUGUAGUAUUAUUUGUCUGUUUGUCUUUUCUUAAUUUUUAUUUUCUAGAUCUAUGAAUUUCAAUUCUGGUAUCUUUUGCCCCUCUUCCAUAGGUAUAAAGAUUUUGCUCUGAAGUUUAGUUGUACCUGCAAAAUAAACUUAUUUUAAAUAGAAUAACCAAAAGCUUUUUUCAAAGUUGAAGUGCUAUAAAUAAGAAAAGUCUCGUUUGAAAUGUUUUAUAUUGUCAUUUUGGGGCCUUUUAUAGAUGUUUUGGGGGUAUAAACUCUGCUCAAUUGUACGGUGACCUAUAUUUACAGAUAGACGAAAUAUACAAGAGGGACAUUUUAUCUCGUGUGGACAGGUGUCUCGAUGAAUUCCGGACCACAUCUUCUUAUCUUUAUGUUCUCGUUAGAAUUAAACAUUUGUCAUUUCGGGGCCCUUUACAGCUGACCAUACAAAAUGGUUUUGGUCAUUAUUGAAUACUGAACUGUGACCUAUAGUAGUAACAUUCUAACUAUUUGAUAUAGAGUUCUGUCAUUGGGAAUCAUACUCAUCUUAAUAUUUUCAUAAAACUGUCGUAAAUGCAGAUAAUUUUAUAGAUAUCCCCGUAUGUAACAAAAUAUAUAUAACCACAAUGCACGUUGCGAAAUGUUUACAGAUAUUUGAACUUUUGAUGCAAUAUUUCGGAGCUCAGUAUUAAUGUGAAUUUAUAUUCCUUUUUAUAUAUUUCGUAUGUGUCGUCAGUAAUUUCCAUUCACAACUAUGUUUGAAAAUAUAAUGCAUUCAAAUUGUGCCCUUGUGGAUAAAAUAUUAAAAUUAUUAAAUAUUUUAAGACGUGUCACGGUACUUGUCUAUCCCAAAUUCAUGUAUUUGGUUAUGAUGUUAUAUUUGUUAUUCUCGUGGGAUUUUGUCUGAUGCUUGGUCCGUUUCUGUGUGUGUUAGUUACAUUGUAGUGUUGUGUCGUUGUUCUCCUCUUAUAUUUAUGCGUUUCCGUCAGUUUUAGUUUGUUACCCCGAUUUUGUUUUUUGUCCAUGGAUUUAUGAGUUUGAACAGCGGUAUACUACUGUUGCCUUUAUUUACCUUAACAUUUCAGUAAAUAUACGAAAUACUUUAGCAAUCUUAAAAACUGACCUUUGUACAUACUUUGUACAUCAGUUAUCUUUAAGAGAAAAUAAUCACUUUUGUCCCUGAAAUUUUUCGAUUGGGCCCUUAUCGAAGUUAUGUUGUGUUACCUUGAAACUAACGAUUUGAAUCAAAACUUAAAAACGGAUUAAAAUCAGUGCAGCGGUUCGAGAUUAAUAAAAUAAAAAAUGCAUGGAGGUAACAAGGCAAUGCUUACAUACAUAAAUAAGGCCGUUAGUUUUCUCCUUUGAAUACACCUAAUCGCUAUUUAUUCCAUUCCGGAUAAGUUCUAAAAUUACACAACUUUUUCAUCCAGUUGAAGCUGUCUGGGACCCUGUUUAAACAAUUCACCAUGCAUGAUACUUUUUAAUGAGACCUGUUUAAACUACCGUAAAUACCUAAACAAAAUAUUUUUUUACUUUAAUUUUAAUUUCGAAAAAAGUGGAUCAUACUAUAUCAAAGUUUCUUGAUGAUCACUUUCUAAAGUUUUUUCUUCCUCAGCUCACUACUGAUGACCUCCAUUUUUCGGCCGGUGACCCAAACAGGAAGUUGUAUAAAUGACUGUUUUCCCCAGAAUGGAAAAAAUAGCGAUAAGGUGUAUUGUUUUACAUCGUCAUUUCGGGCCCUUUUACAGCUGACUAUGCAGUACAGGCUUUGGUAAUUGUUGAAAGCCGUAGUGUGACCUAUAGUUGUUAAUUUGUGUGUCAUUUUGGUAUCUUGUAGAGAGUCGUUUCAUUAUCAAAGUCAAUCAUGACACAUCUUCUUUUUUAUAUCUACAAAUUAAUACGUGCAUGUUUCGGUAAGUUAGCUACCAAAGACGAAAAACGGUUUUGUUUUAAACUCCAGUUAAAAGAAACUCUUGAAUAAUAAGUAUGGGAGAUUUAAUGCCUUUUUUUACUACCGGAAAAAGUAUUUAAAAAAUUACAUCAGCAUUUUUGUCGCAUCUGAACAAACUUUGAUGGAAAGAAUAAUACUCACAGGUAUGAAAAUUGGUUCAAUAUUAUAUUAAAAAUACCGGUUUUUUCUGCAUGAGAUGUGCAUUUUGACAAUGGCUCUUCAGUGAAGCGUGAGGUCAAACUUGUCUAAAACCAAACACAUAAUAGUUCUGUUCUAGAGCUAAAGAAGUCAAAAAGUAAUUUAAGUAUAGUUAAAUCCGAAUAAGGAAUCAGUAUUUUUUUGUUGCGAGACUUACUUGUGUAGUUAAAACACGCGUCCGUAAUUAUUAUUUGUCAGUUUGAUUAACAUUGCAUAUUUUUACACAUGUAUCAAAUGCACAAGUUUUGCUCGUUUUGUCUCCGAUAAGAUCUACCAAUCAAGCGUCCUUGCAGAUAUGAAAAAUUAUUUAUGCAUAACUUUUCUGUUUAUAUCUAAAUUGAUUAAAUAUUGUAAUCAUAACAAACACAAGCAUUUGUCUAAACCAGACUCAAGACGAUUGUAAACAUACGUAUUAAUUUUUUAUGUUUGUUUUUCCGUGCACUUUAUCUUCCUCAGGGGGUGAUGAUAACAUUUGUUUUGAUUUGAGUUUUUAUGAGUAGUUAUAAAAUGUUGAUUUCGCCAUCACAAAUUCUCUUAGUUAAAUUAUAUAUUGAUAUGAAGCAGACUUUUAAUGUUUUUGAAUAAUGGCCUAUAAGUGGCUGUUUGCCUAGAUGACAAUUAUUUAUAGUGAUUUAGAUUAUACGACAAUGUCUGAUGGUCCUCUUUUUUUGAUAUUUUAACCUGUUAUCUCUGUUUGGAAUUUUUAACAAAUUGUUGCCAAUAUAAUGGAAUUUUAUGCGACUGUCAAACAAGUGAGCGGUUUAGCUAGCUUUAAAACCAGGUGAAACCCUCCAUUUUCGACAUAACAAAAUGCCUGUCCAGACUUUGUAAUCAAUGUGUUUGAGUUUUUGUUUUUUUGUUUGAUUUGGGGACUUUCCGUUCAGAAUUAUAUUCGGAGUUCAGUAUUUUUUUAUUUUACUUUUUGCAGAAAUACAGCAUGCCAGUAAGUAACUGAUUCAUUUUCUUUUGUAGUCGACAAAACUGGAACGAUUGUUGGAAUAAUUUGUAGUAUUAUAACCAGUAUUGGAAUUUUAGUAG